rnacentral:rRNA from 1 species
AACGCUGGCGGCGCGUCUUAAGCAUGCAAGUCGAAUGGCAAGAUUGGUGCUUGCACCGAUCCUAGAAUGGCAGACUGGUGAGUAACACGUGGGUGACAUACCCUCUGGAUGGGGACAGCUGUUAGAAAUAGCAGGUAAUACCGAAUAAGCUUGUGCAGGUUAGAGUGGCAUAAGGAAAGGUGCUCCGGCACCACCAGAGGAAUGGCUCGCGGCCCAUUAGCUAGUUGGUGAGGUAACGGCCCACCAAGGCGAUGAUGGGUAUCCGGCCUAAGAGGGUAAACGGACACAUUGGGACUGAGAUACGGCCCAGACUCCUACGGGAGGCAGCAGCUAAGAAUAUUCCGCAAUGGACGAAAGUCUGACGGAGCGACGCCGCGUGGAUGAUGAAGGCCGAAAGGUUGUAAAAUCCUUUUGAACUGGACGAAUAAGUGUGGCAGGGAAUGGUCAUAUGGUGACGGUACAGUUUGAAUAAGAGGCGGCUAAUUACGUGCCAGCCGCUGC